rnacentral:rRNA from 1 species
GCAAACGGUGGAUGCCUUGGCGGUAGGAGGCGACGAAGGACGUGGUUAGCUGCGAAAAGCUUCGGUGAGCUGCUAAGCAAGCUUUGAUCCGGAGAUGUCCGAAUGGGGAAACCCGGCGGGGGUCAUGCCUCGUCAUCCUUUACUGAAUACAUAGGUAAAGGAAGCCAACCUGGGGAACUGAAACAUCUCAGUACCCGGAGGAAAGGAAAUCAACCGAGACUCCCCUAGUAGCGGCGAGCGAACGGGGACCAGGCCUGGUCUGAAAUAAAGCAAAGCAUCUGGAAAGUUGCGCCAUAGUGGGUGAUAGCCCCGU